GAGGUGGCCAGACGGGUCACCACCACCAGCUUGUUAGUCCACACCAGCAGUCGACUUCUUUGAGACCACUCGGCGAAAGCAAGAAGAAAGGCGGGGUCGUGACUCACCACCAACACCGUCAUGCACGAAGAUAACCGUCGUACCUACCGAUGGAUGACUCAGUGAGAGGUGAAACCGGCAAGCCCACAACAUGAAAAGACACGAUACACGGCUACACGGAGAGUGACUCACCGGGACACGGAUUAUGGUUGGAAAAUUUCACUCAAGAGUUGCCAGUGCAGCUGGAAGGCUGAAAGCUCUUCGAGGGGUUUUAUAUACAAAAUGUCCUUGGUUUAAGCGAGCAAGUCUUGCAGCAACCGAGGAUGCGCGACUUCGAACUGAAGUAUCCUCAAACAUAACUAGCGCAAUGCUUAAUUCGAAUCAAACGGGAGUAUAUAAGGGAAGCGGAAAAAAUAUUACCAAUCAAGGAAAAGUCAGACAUGCCAAAGAAGAAUG